AUUGAACGCUGGCGGCAGGCCUAACACAUGCAAGUCGAGCGGAUGAAGGGAGCUUGCUCCUGGAUUCAGCGGCGGACGGGUGAGUAAUGCCUAGGAAUCUGCCUGGUAGUGGGGGAUAACGUCCGGAAACGGGCGCUAAUACCGCAUACGUCCUGAGGGAGAAAGUGGGGGAUCUUCGGGCCUCACGCUAUCAGAUGAGCCUAGGUCGGAUUAGCUAGUUGGUGGGGUAAAGGCCUACCAAGGCGACGAUCCGUAACUGGUCUGAGAGGAUGAUCAGUCACACUGGAACUGAGACACGGUCCAGACUCCUACGGGAGGCAGCAGUGGGGAAUAUUGGACAAUGGGCGAAAGCCUGAUCCAGCCAUGCCGCGUGUGUGAAGAAGGUCUUCGGACUGUAAAGCACUUUAAGUUGGGAGGAAGGGCAGUAAGUUAAUACCUUGCUGUUUUGACGUUACCAACAGAAUAAGCACCGGCUAACUUCGUG
rnacentral:rRNA from 1 species